rnacentral:rRNA from 1 species
GAAAGCUAGGGGAGCGAAUGGGAUUAGAUACCCCAAUAGUCCUAACUGUAAACGAUGGAUACU